UACGUAGGCAGCAAGCGUUGUUCGGAGUUACUGGGCGUAAAGAGCUCGUAGGCGGCCAACUAAGUCAUACGUGAAAUCCCUCGGCUUAACCGGGGAACUGCGUCUGAUACUGGAUGGCUUGAGUUCGGGAGAGGGAUGCGGAAUUCCAGGUGUAGCGGUGAAAUGCGUAGAUAUCUGGAGGAACACCGGUGGCGAAGGCGGCAUCCUGGACCGAUACUGACGCUGAGGAGCGAAAGCCAGGGGAGCAAACGGG
rnacentral:rRNA from 1 species